UUUCCCACAAGGAACUUUAAGAAUACUCUUGUGAAAUGACUCGAAGACUUCAUUUGAAAUUUCCAGUAAAACUUGAUUCAUCUUAGGAGGCGAUGGAUAGAUGUGAAAAAAAAGUGUAUGACUCAUGUUGGAUGACAUUAUUAAUGCUACAAACGAUUGUAAAACACUUCUAAUGUUAUGCAUUUAUAUUUAUUUUUCACAAUUAUAUAUCAAGUGAUCCUUUGCUGUGUUCUUUUUGUUGUUUCUUGCAGGUCAUAUGAAAUAUGUCUUCAGUUUUUGAAUUGUGUCAGGAAUGAUACGAAUGAUAUGAUCUUAUUUGCUGACUGUAAGGUGAUUGAAGAAAAAUAUCAUUGGGGCAUGGCACGACAGCUGAAGAAGUCACAUACUUCUGUUUUGUAGCACUACGACAUUUAAAGGAUAUUAGGUUCAAUUUAACGGUUUCUUCAAGCUUUGCUUAAUGUAUUUGAUGCUAAUCAAAUGAUUUUAACUUCCUUGCUGACUAAUUAUGAAUGAAAGGGGCAAGA